UCUAUGAAAUUGAAGCCAUACUUAAAAGGACUAACAGCUGAAAUAUGUCUACUCACAGUGCUCCAAGAAGCUGACUCAAUGAGUUAUUCAUUAAAGAGGAGUCUGUCUGGAAUGUUCUCCAGCUAAGUGUGGCCAAGUGACUAAUUUCUCUGUAAUAAAAUAUGGGCAAUUGAAGUAAUCUGUGCAACAUUUGAGCCUCUUGCUCAAAAGGAAGUAGCCUGACCUCACUGUGAUUGUUUCUGUUUCCACAGGCUGAACAAUGCAUUGAAAAUGACCCAUUUAGGGACAUACAGAUGAAAUCAAUACCCAGGGAAGGAAAGAGCAACAAAAUAGAAGGAACUUGAGUUCCUUCAUAGACAGGACUUCACAGAGGCAUGAUGUCUUCAAGUCUGGACCACACCCAAACUGCAUAUUAGAUUUGUGCUGGGCAUAUGACUGCUGAGACAUCUUCCAAUCUUCCUUGCAGCACACACCUGAUUUUCUCACCCUCCCAGAAUUAUGGAAUGAUACAGAGAUGGCUAAUUUACCAAGACGUCCACCUAAGCAAUUUGGAACUUUCUGAGAGGCCCCAGUGUGUGUUGUUCUCCUGCCAAUGUGUCCAUGGCUUAUAUGUCAGAGAUCAUUAACCGUGGGAGAAGCCAGCUGCCAUGUCAUGAGGAAGCUCUAUGGUGAGGAUCCAAGACCUGCCAACAACCACAUGAGCCUACACAUGAGGCUGCAGCUCUGCCAACAGUUUGAUUUCAUCCCGUUGGGACCGCAAGCCAGAAGACCACGUUAGACUAUGAUUAGAAUACUGACCCACAGGAACUGUGGAAUAAAAUGUUUUUUAAGCUGUUAAA